UGUUUUUUAACCUUAAUGCUUAUCAACACACUUUGUGUCAACUAAGCCAAACGGGCUCCAGGUUUCCUCCAUUUUGUUUGCAUAAUAAACUUUCGGAUUUUACAUUGCUUCUCAGCGAUCUCUUCAUCUUCCUCAAAUUGCUUCUAUCUACAGUUCUUGCGAUCCGUUGUGAUUGUCGUGUAUCGUGUUAUUCGGUAGCGCCGGAAGGCAUUUUUGGUCAAGAACUACUAAAAAGAAGAUCAGAAAGAAGACCAAACAUCGCAUACACAAGGCAUCACCUUUUGCUAAUAUGUAAAUAGUUAUGUCAUACCUGUUGUAACUAACGUGGCACUUUAAGCAUCCUUUAAUGUGAUACUAACAAUAUCUUUUUUUUGAUCAAAAUGUAUGUAAAUAGGCAUCUAUCAAUUAGCAUGUAAUAUUUUCUACUUAGAUUCUACGCUUACAAUAUCAAUUUUAUUAUA